AACGAACGCUGGCGGCAUGCCUAACACAUGCAAGUCGAACGAGACCGUCGGGUCUAGUGGCGCACGGGUGCGUAACGCGGGGGAACCUGCCCUUAGGUUCGGAAUAACUCCCCUAAAGGGGUGCUAAGACCGGAUAAUGUCAUCGGACCAAGGAUUUAUCGCCUUUGGGUGGGCCCGCGUUGGAUUAGCUAGUUGGUAGGGGAAAAGCCUACCAAGGCGACGAUCCAUAGCUGGUCGGAGAGGAUGAUCAGCCACACUGGGACUGGGACACGGCCCAGACUCCUACGGGAGGCAGCAGUGGGGAAUCUUGGACAGUGGGCGAGAGCCUGAUCCAGCAAUGCCGCGUGAGUGAUGAAGGCCUUAGGGUUGUAAAGCUCUUUUACCCGGGAUGAUAAUGACAGUACCGGGAGAAUAAGCUCCGGCUAACUCCGUG
rnacentral:rRNA from 1 species